AAUUUUAGGUGUUUAAAAGCAAUUA
rnacentral:piRNA from 1 species